rnacentral:lncRNA from 1 species
UAAAUUUGAAGAUUGGAUUUUUGUGAGAUUUGUGGGUUUAUUAUGCCUUGAAAUUAUUGUAACUUUUGAGAUAAAUCCAUUUCUUGGUUUGAAUUAUUGUGGGUAUUUUGUGAUUGAUUCAAUGCUAUUGAUCUGCCAAAUAUAGUGCGAUAAGAAUGACCUUGGGGCCUAACUCAAACCAAAAGCUAGCUUAUGAGGCGAGGAUUGCCCAAGCCAUAUAAGGAGACCAAGGACCUCAAAUCCCUCCGAUGUGGGACAACUCAAUACCCCUCCUCACGCCCAGAUCUCUGGAGCGUGGACAACAUAAAUGAGGGCCCAACAUCGGUAACGAUAAUUGGGACGGGCCUGGCUCUGAUACCAUGAUAAGAAUGGACCUUGGGCUUAACUCAACCCCAAAAGCUAAAGCUAGCUUAUGAGGUGAGGAUUGCCCAAGCCAUAUAAGGAGAUCAAGGACCUCAAAUCCCUCCGAUGUGGGACAACUCAACAUAGU